rnacentral:rRNA from 1 species
CAAUAGCGUAUAUUAAAGUUGUUGCAGUUAAAAAGCUCGUAGUUGGAUUUCGGGGCAGCCUGGCUGGUCCGCCGCAAGGCGAGUACUGGUCAGCCGCCCUUCCUCUCGAAAGCCCCGACUGCUCUUUAUUGCAGUGGUCGGGUAGUUCGGGACGUUUACUUUGAAAAAAUUAGAGUGUUCAAGGCAGGCCUACGCCUGAAUACAUUAGCAUGGAAUAAUGGAAGAGGACCUCGGUCCUAUUUUGUUGGUUUCCAGGACCGAAGUAAUGAUUAAGAGGGACAGUUGGGGGCAUUCGUAUUUAAUUGUCAGAGGUGAAGUUCUCGGAUUUAUGAAAGACGAACAACUGCGAAAGCAUUUGCCAAGGAUGUUUUCAUUAA